AUUCCAACAGAAAACGCGUGCAUCUCCCGGCGGCGGUGCCAUCCUCGUCCAGGCGCCGGCGUGAACGAGAUACGACGUGUGCUUCUCCUGGCGGCGGUGGCGAGUUUCCCUGGGUAGCUACUCCAUUCUGCCGUCGGGCAAGCCGAGGGUAAAUAGGACGUGUCGGCCGUGGUGACGAGCUGGCUUUCGAUCCGCUCGUGCAAUCUGUUGCUGGAGGUGUUGGCCGUGGUGAGUGGUGACGACUGACGAGCUGCCCUUCGAUCUGCUGGUGCAUCUGUUGUCCGGCAAAUCCACGUUCAACAGGUGUAGACGUUUGUCAUCUGCUCACCCUGCUCGGCGGACGUACAGUUCUAUCUUCGACUAGGAGAAGACGAGCACCAGCACCAGCACCAGCAGGCAGCCUGGUUGGUGAUCUCCGCUUGCAUCUAGUCAUCUGUAGCGCAAUUGUAGGCGCGUAGCGCGUAUCAUCCAGGUGGUCAAAUUCCAAUUUUCCAAUUCGCAAUCACUUGGUACCUUUUCCAUAUAAUAGUAUAUAUCACUUCCAACUUUUUGUAUAUUAUAGUAUCACUUGAUACACGUUGCCUCUGAAUCUUCCAGGACGUAUCCCACCAUUCACUCAUGCAUGUUCUGCGUCCUGGCUUCUUGUUUAUCUAAAGAAGCCAUUCUAGUUGUUGAUCUAAUACAUCCUUAGGCGCUAAUGAUUUAUUUCGUUUGAGAAGAUGGGAAAAUAACCGAGAGCGCGCCGUGUAUGCUUCACGGUUCAGGCAGCUCAAGCUCCAAAUCGGCAUGUUUGAUAACUUCCUGAUUCAGAUCAGAAAAUUUGCAGUUUGGAAGAUUUGCUGUUUUUAAUCAUGUAACAUGGUUUUUUAUUUGAUCAAUAUAUGUUGUGAGAAUAUAUGCCACGACGAAAUAUGGUUGGUAGCAGUUUAUUUUCAUAUGUAUUUGGAUGUACUCCCCUAAAAGGAUUACAAGAGGUAUCUGCACGUACUUUUUGGAUGAUAAAGAGGAAGUAUGGGAUCAUACUUCAUGAAAUAAAAAAAUGAUAUGAGUUGUAUAUGCAUAUUUUCAGAAGGAUUCAGAGGACGUAUUGGCUCAUACUUCUGCAAGAUUCUAACUUAGUAUGUGUUCAUACUCUCUGAAUAUAA